UCGGCGGUUCCUCCAUUCUAGGAACUAGAGACUGUCACUCGAGUCGCGGGGAGGCGCCGCCGCAGCCCGGAGGCGAUGAAGCGCUUCUUCCAGCCCGUGCCCAAGGACGGCUGCCCAGCCAAGAAGAGGCCCGCCACCGCCUCCGACUCUAGCGAUGCCCUCACAGCGGCGGGCGGCGGGGAGGGGACUCCUGGCGAGGAGCCGCGCAACUUCCUGACGUGGAACGCCAACAGCCUGCUCCUCCGGAUGAAGAGCGGCUGGCCCGCCUUCUCCCAGUUCGUCGCGCGCCUCGACCCCGAUGUCAUCUGCGUACAGGAAGUGCGGAUGCCGGCAGCUGGUUCCAAAGGGGCACCUAAAAAUCCUAGUGAACUAAAAGAUGACACAAGCUCAUCACGAGAUGAAAAGCAGGUAGUUCUGCGUGCUUUGUCAAGUUCACCUUUCAAAGACUACCAUGUUUGGUGGUCUCUUUCGGAUUCAAAAUAUGCAGGAACAGCUAUGUUUAUAAAGAAAAAGUUUGAACCAAAGAAGGUGUCUUUCAACUUGGAUGUAACAUCUUCUAAGCAUGAAAGCGACGGGCGUGUUAUAAUUGCGGAAUUUGAAUCGUUCCUCUUACUAAACACCUAUGCUCCAAACAAUGGAUGGAAAGAAGAGGAAAAUUCAUUUCAAAGAAGAAGAAAGUGGGACAAGAGAAUGCUGGAGUUUGUUCAACAAGUAGACAAACCCUUAAUCUGGUGCGGGGACUUGAAUGUCAGUCAUGAAGAAAUCGAUGUCAGCCAUCCUGAUUUUUUUAGCAGUGCUAAGCUCAAUGGAUAUACCCCUCCGAAUAAAGAGGACUGUGGACAGCCAGGAUUCACCCUAUCAGAGAGGCGGCGCUUUGACAACAUAUUGUCCCAAGGAAAGCUGGUAGAUGCUUACAGGCACCUGCACAAAGAAAAGGACAUGGACUGUGGCUUCUCUUGGUCCGGUCAUCCAAUUGGCAAGUACCGAGGAAAGAGAAUGCGGAUUGACUAUUUCAUUGUUUCAGAAAAAUUGAAGGACAGGAUAAUUUCAUGUGAAAUGCAUGGCCGUGGAAUUGAAUUAGAAGGCGAAUGAUCGCCAGGUUGAGGGCCUAGAUUUGCUUGACGCCAUCGGAGACCGACGCUUGCAGAGUGGACACUUUGGAUGGCAGACCAUCUAGGGUUUUGAUGUGCGGCACUAGCGCUACUAGGGGCUCCAAGGUGGCGGCUCGCUUGUCGAUGGCGGUGAUCGUUGUGGAUUCUAUGGAAGUGAUCACUGCCCUGUUUCACUUGAGCUCUCCAAAGCGGCAGCAGAAGCAGAAGCACCAGAACCCAAUCCAUCCAGCUAACUUUUGUGUUGCUCUCUCUUAGACAUUUUCUUGUUGGCAGUUAUUCUGUGUUGGCAGUACCAUGUAACUCAUGUUGUCAGUAGUUCUGAAUCUAGCUAGGAUCCUGACUGUAUUUAUGAUCGAGCUAGCUGACGACUACGGCCAGCUAUGCUACAGUAUGACUUUAGGGCUCCAUUGCCACAUUUCAAGGUAUCCAAAUUUGAUA